rnacentral:rRNA from 1 species
CCCGUGCGGGGUGCCUAUACAUGCAGUCGAACGCUUCUUUCCUCCCGAGUGCUUGCACUCAAUUGGAAAGAGGAGUGGCGGACGGGUGAGUAACACGUGGGUAACCUACCCAUCAGAGGGGGAUAACACUUGGAAACAGGUGCUAAUACCGCAUAACAGUUUAUGCCGCAUGGCAUAAGAGUGAAAGGCGCUUUCGGGUGUCGCUGAUGGAUGGACCCGCGGUGCAUUAGCUAGUUGGUGAGGUAACGGCUCACCAAGGCCACGAUGCAUAGCCGACCUGAGAGGGUGAUCGGCCACACUGGGACUGAGACACGGCCCAGACUCCUACGGGAGGCAGCAGUAGGGAAUCUUCGGCAAUGGACGAAAGUCUGACCGAGCAACGCCGCGUGAGUGAAGAAGGUUUUCGGAUCGUAAAACUCUGUUGUUAGAGAAGAACAAGGACGUUAGUAACUGAACGUCCCCUGACGGUAUCUAACCAGAAAGCCACGGCUAACUACGUGCCAGCAGCCGCGGUAAUACGUAGGUGGCAAGCGUUGUCCGGAUUUAUUGGGCGUAAAGCGAGCGCAGGCGGUUUCUUAAGUCUGAUGUGAAAGCCCCCGGCUCAACCGGGGAGGGUCAUUGGAAACUGGGAGACUUGAGUGCAGAAGAGGAGAGUGGAAUUCCAUGUGUAGCGGUGAAAUGCGUAGAUAUAUGGAGGAACACCAGUGGCGAAGGCGGCUCUCUGGUCUGUAACUGACGCUGAGGCUCGAAAGCGUGGGGAGCAAACAGGAUUAGAUACCCUGGUAGUCCACGCCGUAAACGAUGAGUGCUAAGUGUUGGAGGGUUUCCGCCCUUCAGUGCUGCAGCAAACGCAUUAAGCACUCCGCCUGGGGAGUACGACCGCAAGGUUGAAACUCAAAGGAAUUGACGGGGGCCCGCACAAGCGGUGGAGCAUGUGGUUUAAUUCGAAGCAACGCGAAGAACCUUACCAGGUCUUGACAUCCUUUGACCACUCUAGAGAUAGAGCUUUCCCUUCGGGGACAAGUGACAGGUGGUGCAUGGUGUCGUCAGCUCGUGUCGUGAGAUGUUGGGGUUAAGUCCCGCACGAGCGCAACCCUUAUUUGUUAGUUGCCAUCAUUUAGUUGGGCACUUCUAGCGAGACUGCCGGGUGACAACCGGAGGAAGGGUGGGGGAAUGACGUCCAAUCUAUCAUGCCUUAUGACCUUGGGCUUAACACUGCUCAAUGGGAGGUACCACGAGUUCCUUGUAAUCCGCAGGCCAUGCUGCCGAAUCCUCCUCUUAUAAGAGACU